AUUGAACGCUGGCGGCAUGCUUUACACAUGCAAGUCGAACGGUAACAGGCCGCAAGGUGCUGACGAGUGGCGAACGGGUGAGUAAUGCAUCGGAACGUGCCCAGUCGUGGGGGAUAACGCAGCGAAAGUUGCGCUAAUACCGCAUACGAUCUAUGGAUGAAAGCGGGGGACCGUAAGGCCUCGCGCGCUUGGAGUGGCCGAGGUCAGAUUAGGUAGUUGGUGGGGUAAAGGCUCACCAAGCCGACGAUCUGUAGCUGGUCUGAGAGGACGACCAGCCAGACUGGGACUGAGACACGGCCCAGACUCCUACGGGAGGCAGCAGUGGGAAAUUUUGGACAAUGGGCGCAAGCCUGAUCCAGCAAUGCCGCGUGCAGGAAGAAGGCCUUCGGGUUGUAAACUGCUUUUGUACGGAACGAAACGGUCCUGGUUAAUACCCGGGGCUAAUGACGGUACCGUAAGAAUAAGCACCGGCUAACUACGUGCCAGCAGCCGCCGUAAGAC
rnacentral:rRNA from 1 species